rnacentral:rRNA from 1 species
GCUCUGUGGGAUCAGUGGCGAACGGGUGAGUAACACGUGAGCAACCUGCCCCUGACUCUGGGAUAAGCGCUGGAAACGGCGUCUAAUACUGGAUAUGUGACGUGACCGCAUGGUCUGCGUUUGGAAAGAUUUUUCGGUUGGGGAUGGGCUCGCGGCCUAUCAGCUUGUUGGUGAGGUAAUGGCUCACCAAGGCGUCGACGGGUAGCCGGCCUGAGAGGGUGACCGGCCACACUGGGACUGAGACACGGCCCAGACUCCUACGGGAGGCAGCAGUGGGGAAUAUUGCACAAUGGGCGAAAGCCUGAUGCAGCAACGCCGCGUGAGGGAUGACGGCCUUCGGGUUGUAAACCUCUUUUAGCAGGGAAGAAGCGAAAGUGACGGUACCUGCAGAAAAAGCGCCGGCUAACUACGUGCCAGCAGCCGCGGUAAUACGUAGGGCGCAAGCGUUAUCCGGAAUUAUUGGGCGUAAAGAGCUCGUAGGCGGUUUGUCGCGUCUGCUGUGAAAUCCCGAGGCUCAACCUCGGGCCUGCAGUGGGUACGGGCAGACUAGAGUGCGGUAGGGGAGAUUGGAAUUCCUGGUGUAGCGGUGGAAUGCGCAGAUAUCAGGAGGAACACCGAUGGCGAAGGCAGAUCUCUGGGCCGUAACUGACGCUGAGGAGCGAAAGGGUGGGGAGCAAACAGGCUUAGAUACCCUGGUAGUCCACCCCGUAAACGUUGGGAACUAGUUGUGGGGUCCAUUCCACGGAUUCCGUGACGCAGCUA